UGUGAAAAGAAUUCCGAAAUCCGAAUGGAUCUUUUCCAAGUGCCUUCAGUAUAUUUAACAACAGAUAACUCUUACCUAAGCCAGUUAAAUUCAUCGGAAACUAUAGAGGGUCAAGUUAAAGUACUGAAAGAGUACUCGUCGUUUGU